rnacentral:rRNA from 1 species
CAGCAUGGUCUUAGCUUGCUAAGGCUGAUGGCGACCGGCGCACGGGUGAGUAACACGUAUCCAACCUGCCGUCUACUCUUGGCCAGCCUUCUGAAAGGAAGAUUAAUCCAGGAUGGGAUCAUGAGUUCACAUGUCCGCAUGAUUAAAGGUAUUUUCCGGUAGACGAUGGGGAUGCGUUCCAUUAGAUAGUAGGCGGGGUAACGGCCCACCUAGUCAACGAUGGAUAGGGGUUCUGAGAGGAAGGUCCCCCACAUUGGAACUGAGACACGGUCCAAACUCCUACGGGAGGCAGCAGUGAGGAAUAUUGGUCAAUGGGCGAUGGCCUGAACCAGCCAAGUAGCGUGAAGGAUGACUGCCCUAUGGGUUGUAAACUUCUUUUAUAAAGGAAUAAAGUCGGGUAUGCAUACCCGUUUGCAUGUACUUUAUGAAUAAGGAUCGGCUAACUCCGUGCCAGCAGCCGCGGUAAUACGGAGGAUCCGAGCGUUAUCCGGAUUUAUUGGGUUUAAAGGGAGCGUAGAUGGAUGUUUAAGUCAGUUGUGAAAGUUUGCGGCUCAACCGUAAAAUUGCAGUUGAUACUGGAUGUCUUGAGUGCAGUUGAGGCAGGCGGAAUUCGUGGUGUAGCGGUGAAAUGCUUAGAUAUCACGAAGAACUCCGAUUGCGAAGGCAGCCUGCUA